AUUGAACGCUGGCGGCAGGCUUAACACCUGCAAGUCGAGCGAGCGGCGGCCGGGUGAGUAAUGUCUGGGAACCUGCCUGAUGGAGGGGGAUAACUACUGGAAACGGUAGCUAAUACCGCAUACCAUCAGAUGUGCCCAGAGUGGAUUAGCUAGUAGUUGGGGUAAUGGCUCACCUAGGCGACGAUCCCUAGCUGGUCUGCGAGGAUGACAAGCCACACGGGAACUGAGACACGGUCCAGACUCCUACGGGAGGCAGCAGUGGGGAAUAUUGCACAAUGGGCGCAAUCCUGAUGCAGCCAUGCCGCGUGUGUGAAGAAGGCCUUCGGGUUGUAAAGCACGUUCAGCGAGGAGGCGUUACUCGCAGAAGAAGCACCGGCUAACUCCGUGCCAGCAGCCGCGGUAAUAC
rnacentral:rRNA from 1 species